GCUUCACUUCCUUAUCCUUCUCUCUCUUUUCUUCCAUCAAAUUAGUCUCGAAGAAGCUUCAUCGAAGAGUUGUUCGCAUUUUUCUUUUUUUCGUCUAUUUAUUUUUCUGAAAAUUUUGAACAAAUCGCAGUUGUAGUCGCAAGAAAUUUUCCGAAAACUGAGUACCAAAUUUCAAGUUUCUAUCAGAAUUGUGCCGACCUCUAGAACAAGAAUUGUUUCUUUUUCCUCUUGCGUGUUGUGAUAUUCUUUUGCCUUUUCAAGUUCUUUUCAUAUUUUCCAUUCUCUUUGCAGGUUUGCACUUGCAACUAUGCAAAUUUUGCAGAUUGUUGACAAAGUUUGGUACUUGUGUGGUUCCUAACAACAUGCAAAGGAUGAUAGAACCAAACCCAGCAAGUUGACUUCCUUCUUGGGUUAUAAGGUUGGGAUGAAUCACAUUGCGAGAGGAUUUGAAAAAUCCGUAUCAACAAAUUGUACGAAAUAUUAUCUAACUUAUACAAAAGAAGGCUAAAGGAGGAUGGGAGUAAAAGGACGAACACUGCAUCUUCUAAUUGUACUAAAGAUCUCAACUCUUCAAUGGUGAAUUCAUGUGUUGCUGAGUGUCUUCUCUUUGUGUAGACACUUUAAAUCUCUCUGUGAAGGUUUCCUCAAGAUUUUUGUUUGUUUGGGGUGCCUUGCCGAAAUAUUUCUUCAUGAUUUAAGGGUUGUUUUGGGUCCUUGUACUUCCUGUACUAUGCUUCAACACAAAAACACAAGAGCAGAAAACCCAGCAUUGUUAAUGCAAGUUCCUCCAUUGUUAAUUUGCCCGGAUUAAUGACUUUUGACGACCAACAAAUGGCAUUGGGUUGCGAGUACGUACACAUUUUCUCCUCUUCUAAGGUAAUUCUCGCCACUCCAUUACAUUGGCUCAUUGUGGGAUGGUUUGGAUGAGUUGUCGUCAGUUUAUGCCUCCUCUUUUGUUCUCCUUUCUCUAUGACUACAGUUCUUAUGUCCUUCUAUUUU